rnacentral:rRNA from 1 species
UGAGAGUUUGAUCCUGGCUCAGGAUGAACGCUGGCGGCGUGGAUAAGGCAUGCAAGUCGAACGAGGUUGGCGAGAGAUUACAUCAAUUGCCGGCCUAGUGGCAAACGAGUUAGUAACACGUGGGUAUCUACCUUCAACACGGGUAUAACCCGCCGAAAGGCGGACUAAUUCCCGAUGGUCUAAAUGUUGACGUGAUGGAUUUGAUGGCGAGAAUUUAUUUUCGUUGUCUGUCCGGAUUGUUGGUGUUUAGUAAAGGCCGAAAGGCGGUUGAAGAGGAGCCCGCGGCCUAUCAGCUAGUUGGUAGGGUAAUGGCCUACCAAGGCAACGACGGGUAGGGGGGGUGAGAGCCCGUUCCCCAACGACGGCACUGAGACACGGGCCGUACUCCUACGGGAGGCAGCAGUCGAGAAUAUUCGACAAUGGGCGAAAGCCUGAUCGAGCGACGCCGCGUGAAGGAAGAAGCCCUUCGGGGUGUAAACUUCUUUUGCGGGGGAUGAAACCGUGCAGCAAUGCGCGAUUGACCGUACCCCGCGAAUAAGGGGCUGCAAACUUCGUGCCAGCAGCCGCGGUAAUACGAAGGCCCCAAGCGUUAUCCGGAUUUAUUGGGCGUAAAGCGUCCGCAGGUGGUUUUAAUAGUCAGGUGUUAAAUCCUCAAGCUUAACUUGAGGCCUGCACCCGAAACGUUAAAACUAGAGGGCAGGAGAGGCUGAUGGAACAUACGGUGUAGGGGUGAAAUCCGUUGAUAUCGUAUGGAACACCAAAGGCGAAGGCAUUCAGCUGGCCUGUCUCUGACACUCAGGGACGAAAGCGUGGGUAGCGAAUGGGAUUAGAUACCCCAGUAGUCCACGCCGUAAACGAUGCCGACUAGCCGUUUGAAGUAUCGACCCUUCAAGUGGCGAAGCUAACGCGUUAAGUCGGCCGCCUGGGAAGUACGAGCGC